UCCCCAUAGUAAUGGCGAAUGAACAGGGAUGAGCUCAGCAUGGAAAUUGGGGCCUGUGGCUUUGACUUGUAAUCUUGUGAGGCAUUGCCAACAGAGGCGCAGAUGUAAGUCUCUUGGAAAAGAGCAUCAAUGAGGGUGAGAGUCCUGUUUGUCAUUUGCAGCCCCCCUGUGCACGGUGUGCCUUCUAAGAGUCACGUUCCUCGGGAUUGGAGCGCAAAGUGGGUGGUAACUUUCAUCUGAAGCUAAACAAUGGUUUGGGACCGAUAGGAAACAAGUACCAUGAGGGAAAGGUGAAAAGGACUUUGGAAAGAGAGUUAAAAGUGCCUGAAAUUGCUGAAGGGGAAGCGAAUGGAACCAGUGGCGCUGGGUGAGAUUGUCACACGCUGCAGGGAUUGGUUGCUGCAUCAGCGCAAGCGAUCUAGCGACUGCUGAAUUGUAAGUGUGUGGUGUGUCUUGCCUUGUGUGUCAUUGUGGGUUUAUGCAUUAAGACAAUUCAAAGUGCAUGGCAAUAUGUUUCUGAAUCUAUGAAUGUGUUUUGUUAUGUUUAUGCAUAAGCUUCCUAUUCUAUGUCUGGCUGCAGUGCUUGCCGUCCCCAUUUUUUGGAUAGAUGACUGAGCAUGUCCUUCUGCACAGAUCUUGGCUAAAU
rnacentral:rRNA from 1 species